rnacentral:lncRNA from 1 species
CAAAUAUAUAUAUAUAUAUAUAUAUUGAUAAUGUUUGAAAUGCGUGUAGAUCAGAAUUUCUGUCCGUCUGAAAACUUGAAAACACACUUACAUAUGCAGGGAUUGACCAGUGUUAAAGGGACAGUCCAGCUUGAGAUGAAGACUGUGUUAUCAUUUACUCACUUCAUUUAAAACCCUUCCUUUUAUGAUCAGCAGAAGAAAAAAUCAUAUCGUUUAGACACAACUUGAGAGUAUUUAUGGGCUGAACUAUCCACUUACGUGGUAUUGUUGGGCUAUUUUACAACAGCUUUAAUUCAGGUCUUAAAUUAGUGACAAAAGUGUCAAAAAUCAUUUACAAACAAAUGGUACAUCCAACAUCAUAUAUCAUCUCCGGGACAGUUUUACUGGUGUGAGAUUGUUAAAGUUAAAUUGCAUUAGACACUUCAUACGAUCUAUUCCUCUGUGUAUAGAAAAUACAUAUAUUUUAGUAUUUAGUGAAAACCAUUCUAGAAUGAAGUUAAGUUAUAAUGUACUUAUUAUAUUUGGAAGAUAGACCUUCGUGAAACAUCAGGAUUGCAGUUACAAACAGCCUUUCCUUCUCAGAAAUCUAUCUAGGAUCAAUAACACAUUUUAUUUCACAACAGUUUUUAAAGAUUUGUGUAAAAUACUUCUCUCAUUUUUUUUAUUUUUCUUUUUAUUUGUAAUUAUUUUGACAGUGAUCUGCAGUAUGUUUUCAUCAAGAAGAGCCGGGCGUUAAUAGAAUCAGAGAGCAAUUAGUGUUGUGUGGAGAGGAUGCAUGGAUCUGGUCCAUUACCUGGGAAAUAAACGAGUGUUUCUGACUAACAGUGAUGUGAUGGACACUAGCAGGAUCUCAGUCUGUGUGUGGCAUGCUUCAGCUUCCUCCAGGGCUCAUUAACAUACAGAUGGAUUUCUGCGCUUGAACAGCACCUGUGCCAUGAUUGUAAAUGAGGAGCGGAUGGGAUCGUUCCCAGCGCCUGCUGCUCAGGUGAUACGGAGCAAUUCUUACCAAGCUCCACCAGUUUCAGCCGUUAAUUGGCUUCGUCAAGACUUGAACAAGGUCCUGAACUCAAGUCUGUUCUUCCUAGAUGCCAUUUACACAGAGAAAGAUCUUGGGCUUCUUGAAUUUUCACAUACAUUUCCCUCAGGGCAGGGCCAGGCUCGUGUUCACUUCCUUCCUUCACUCAUGUCUCGUCCUGCUCCUUUACUUUGGGAAUCUUCCUUUAACACAGAACACAGGUCUGCAAGUGUGUAUACGCUCAUGGAUGCACAAACACGGCCAGGGGGGAAUUCCUUUGUGCUGAUUUCACUGAAGACUUUUUUUAUUGCUUUCAUUGCGUUUAAUUGCAUGCUUUCUUUUUUGUAAUAAUUUCCUCUUGACAUACUUUACCAAGUGUUCUAAAAUAAUGUUUCACGUUAAACAAAUAGUUCAACCAAAAAUGACCAUUGAGUCUGUCUCUCACCCCUCGAGGGAAGCUUUUCAUUCAGUCCCCAAACAUCUCUUGCUGCUCAACAUUGCAUUUCUCUUGUUUUCAUUUUAUAACAUCUUUAAAUUUCAGAAUCAAAAUGCUAGCUAACCUUCCUUUUGAUCAAUGACUACAUUAUCCUGAUACAAUUAAUAAUAAUAAAGAGAUGACAUCAAGAAACUUUUAAAAAUACACAUACACUGGGUUUCAUUGUUUCGCUUAAACUGAGGUUGUGCUUCUUGUCUGAAGUCUUCUCUGAGCAGAGCUUGUAUUCCUCCUACACAGCUGGUUCUGUUUUAGCUAAUGAUUCUGUUACAGAUUAUUUGUUGAUCCUUAGCACCUUUUGUGAUUGUCUCGUCAUGCACUACUAUCAGAAUCUGACUGUGUGCCGGUGUGUUAUUGCAUUCAUAUGUGCUCUUUCACACACACACACACACACACACACACACACACGCACAGAGACACACACACACAGACACACAGACACACACACACACACACACACACACACACACACACACACUCGCUCUCUCUCACACACACACACACACACACACACACACACACACACACACACAGAGAGACACACACACACACACACACACACACACUUGUUUAAUGCCCACUUCUCUCUCUCUUCUCUUUGAAAAGCUGUUUUCCUCUGGCUGACAGGUGAUUCCUAAACUCUUGACCUUCAGCAGUAAACUGACCACUGCUGACUGACAGGACUGGAUCUGCUUCAGAGAAACUUCCCAUCCACAGAGGAAGGACAACUGUGAGCAAAAUAAUAAUACUGAUGAUCACAAAUAAACCCUGACAGGAUCUGUAGCUGUCAUCUUGACCCUCUGUCGUCUGAGUCAGCACAGAUCGGUCUGGUACUGACCUGCUCAGAUUCAUUCAGUCAUCUGCUCAUAUUUGCUUCCUGCUGUUUUAAGAAAGGAACUUCUGAAAGAAAUGAUUGCAGGAAAAUACUGCUUGAAUUUAUAUGAAGGACUGCACUAAUUCAAAAUGAUUCGAUCUAAAUAAAUAAAUAAAAUGCAAUCAACACUCCAAAUUAAAAUGACAC